CGAGCGCAACCCUUAUCCUAUGUUGCCAGCAUUUAGUUGGGGACUCAUAGGAGACUGCCGGGGUCAACUCGGAGGAAGGUGGGGAUGACGUCAAGUCAUCAUGCCCCUUAUGCCCAGGGCUGCAAACACGCUACAAUGGCCGGUACAGAGGGCUGCGAUCUCGCGAGAGUGAGCGAAUCCCACAAAGCCGGUCUCAGUUCGGAUUGGAGUCUGCAACUCGACUCCAUGAAGCCGGAGUUGCUAGUAAUCCCGGAUCAGCACGCCGGGGUGAAUACGUUCCCGGGCCUUGUACACACCGCCCGU
rnacentral:rRNA from 1 species